rnacentral:tRNA from 1 species
GGAGAAAUGGCCGAGUGGUCGAAGGCGCACGCCUGGAAAGUGUGUAUACCGCGUGAAACGGUAUCGUGGGUUCGAAUCCCCCUUUCUCCG